rnacentral:rRNA from 1 species
CGGAGGAUCCAAGCGUUAUCCGGAAUCAUUGGGUUUAAAGGGUCCGUAGGCGGGUUUAUAAGUCAGUGGUGAAAGCCCAUCGCUCAACGAUGGAACGGCCAUUGAUACUGUAGAUCUUGAAUUAUUAGGAAGUAACUAGAAUAUGUAGUGUAGCGGUGAAAUGCUUAGAGAUUACAUGGAAUACCAAUUGCGAAGGCAGGUUACUACUAAUGGAGUGACGCUGAUGGACGAAAGCGUGGGUAGCGAACAGGAUUAGAUACCCUGGUAGUCCACGCCGUAAACGAUGGAUACUAGCUGUUCGGAGCAAUCUGAGUGGCUAAGCGAAAGUGAUAAGUAUCCCACCUGGGGAGUACGUUCGCAAGAAUG